rnacentral:lncRNA from 1 species
CUUGCCCACUGAGGAGUGGUUUUGGAUAAUGGCCCGGUAGCUUUAGACUUCAAGGGUCAUUGACAGUACCUGUCAAACCAGGAGAUAAGAUGGGAACCAUGGCUGCAUGUGGGAGAGGCUGGAUAGUGCCAUGGUCAUGCAAUAAGCUAUGCAAGAUAAAAGGGAAUAACUCGACAGAAACUUCAGAGAAAUCACCACAACAGCUCUUGUAUGGACAAUCUUUGAGCCUGUUGCUAUGUUGCUCCUCAGAAUGAUCACCAGAGCUAUUCAAACUAUUUUUAAAGUGAGUUGCCAUAGAAAAACAUCCAGAAGGAAUUCCCACCAAACAGGGUGUCCAAAGUAGGAAGUCCAGGGCUCACGCCACUGCUCCAGAAAUCAAACUCCUUUUCUCUUCCUCUACUGCCAACUGUAAUGAGUGGAUUUCUCCUCCAUGUUCACAAAAUGUUUGUUGCACCACGAGGCAGCAUCUCCACAUUCCAGGCAGGAGAAAAGACAAAGAACACAAGAGGAUAGUAGAGUUGCUGCAGCCAUUCUGUCACCAUGAGGGAUUAUGCUGAUGCCAUGGAAAGCAGUGUGUACGGAUGAAAUAUGACAGGUCUUGAUUCAGACCCACCCUGAAGCCCAUCCUAUUUCUGGACUUUGCAGUCACAUGAGCCAAUAAAUG